UGACAUGAUUGGUGCAGUAUACAUUUACUAGCUUUGGAAAUGUUGCCU
rnacentral:pre_miRNA from 1 species